UACGUAGGGGGCAAGCGUUAUCCGGAUUUACUGGGUGUAAAGGGAGCGUAGACGGCAGUGCAAGUCUGAAGUGAAACUCCGGGGCUCAACCCCGGAACUGCUUUGGAAACUGUACAGCUAGAGUAUCGGAGGGGUAAGCGGAAUUCCUAGUGUAGCGGUGAAAUGCGUAGAUAUUAGGAGGAACACCGGUGGCGAAGGCGGCUUACUGGACGAAGACUGACGUUGAGGCUCGAAAGCGUGGGGAGCAAAC
rnacentral:rRNA from 1 species